rnacentral:rRNA from 1 species
GAUGAACGCUAGCGGCAGGCCUAACACAUGCAAGUCGAGGGGUAGAAGGAGCUUGCUCCUUUGAGACCGGCGCACGGGUGCGUAACGCGUAUGCAAUCUACCUUGUACAGGGGAAUAGCCCAGAGAAAUUUGGAUUAAUGCCCCAUAGUAUAUAACCUUCGCAUGUUGGUUAUAUUAAAGUUCCAACGGUACAAGAUGAGCAUGCGUCCCAUUAGUUAGUUGGUAAGGUAACGGCUUACCAAGACGAUGAUGGGUAGGGGUCCUGAGAGGGAGAUCCCCCACACUGGUACUGAGACACGAACCAGACUCCUACGGGAGGCAGCAGUGAGGAAUAUUGGUCAAUGGUCGCAAGACUGAACCAGCCAUGCCGCGUGCAGGAAGACGGUCCUAUGGAUUGUAAACUGCUUUUAUACAGGAAGAAACCCUCCAACGUGUGGGAGCUUGACGGUACUGUAGGAAUAAGGAUCGGCUAACUCCGU